rnacentral:piRNA from 1 species
UUGAAAUGUGGUUGCCUUUACAAUGGC